rnacentral:rRNA from 1 species
UACAGAGGUCCCAAGCGUUGUUCGGAUUCACUGGGCGUAAAGGGUGCGCAGGUGGGCUGGUAAGUUCGAUGUGAAAGCCCCGGGCUUAACCCGGGAAUGGCAUUGGAUACUACUGGUCUGGAGGAUUGGAGGGGGGACUGGAAUUCUUGGUGUAGCAGUGAAAGUGCGUAGAUAGUCAAGAGGAACACCAGUGGCGAAGGGCGGA